GAUGAACGCUGGCGGCGUGCCUAAUACAUGCAAGUCGAGCGAACGGACGAGACGCUUGCUUCUCUGAUGUUAGCGGCGGACGGGUGAGUAACACGUGGAUAACCUACCUAUAAGACUGGGAUCACUUCGGGACACCGGAGCUAAUACCGGAUAAUAUUUUGAACCGCAUGGUUCAAAAGUGAAAGACGGUCUUGCUGUCACUUAUAGAUGGAUCCGCGCUGCAUUAGCUAGUUGGUAAGGUAACGGCUUACCAAGGCAACUAUGCAUAGCCGACCUGAGAGGGGGAUAGGCCACACUGGAACUGGGACACGGACCAGACUCCUACGGGAGGCAGCAGUAGGGAAUCUUCCGCAAUGGGCGAAAGCCUGACGGAGCAACGCCGCGUGAGUGAUGAAGGUCUUCGGAUCGUAAAACUCUGUUAUUAGGGAAGAACAGAUGUGGAAGGAACUGUGCACAGCUUGACGGUACCUAAUCAGAAAGCCACGGCUAACUACGUG
rnacentral:rRNA from 1 species